AGCUAGUACUGGCGGGAAUUCUUUACGACCAAAUGCACAACAAAUAUUCUCCAAAAACCGCUGCAUCUUGUGUGUGAACAUUUACAAACAAUUUGAUAUAAAUUGUACAUUUAAAUCAUCACUUGGGAGCAUAAAAUCACUUUUGACGUACGGUGCUUUGCAACCAACAACUUACCGCUGGUUUGGUGCUUGUUCACUGGGACGAUUCUAACUGGAACAUCCCCCCUCGUAAGCAAGCUACGCAAACCAGCCAAUAAGAUGCCAUGUUGAGUAGGUGAAGGCAAGACAAACUCAAACCAAAAACCCAUUGGCUUAACAAUAAAGUGGCAAGGGGAAUCACCAAUAUAACCCUGUUACACUUAUAACCUUGUCAACAUCUUGACUAUAUUUCCUAUUCAUUUUGCAACUCAUUUCAUGUAUGUUUUCCUGGAAAACAAGGACAUUUCUAAGUGACCCCAAACUUUUGAGCGAUAUCCAGAGAUGAGCGUGGGAAGAAGACCUACUCACCGAAAGUACUGACUGUCAUGUAAAGCCAUGCUAUUGAUGGGAAAUAUGCAUUGUCAUCAUUACGGCAAAUGUGGUCCAUUUUCGGUGGAGGUUCGACGUUUUAUGACUGUUCUCUUAUCUUUGACCCCUUACAUGACGAAAAGGUGGUGGAGAAGCCUGGCCAGCACCAAGGUCACGUUGAAGAACCCAGGAGCUUUCAAGAAGCAACGUUUUGAUGGCUUUAUUAGAGGGUGCACUGGACAGGGAGAGGUGCUUGUAAAGUGCCGGUCUUUAAAAUCAGAAUCUACAAGGAGGAU